rnacentral:tRNA from 1 species
GGGUGUAGCUCAGUGGUAGAGUGCUUGCCCAGCAUGCACAAGGUCCUAGGUUUGAUCCCCAGCAACACA